AGUGAACGCUGGCGGUAGGCCUAACACAUGCAAGUCGAACGGCAGCACAGUAAGAGCUUGCUCUUACGGGUGGCGAGUGGCGGACGGGUGAGGAAUACAUCGGAAUCUACUUUUUCGUGGGGGAUAACGUAGGGAAACUUACGCUAGUACCGCAUACGACCUACGGGUGAAAGCAGGGGAUCUUCGGACCUUGCGCGAUUGAAUGAGCCGAUGUCGGAUUAGCUAGUUGGCGGGGUAAAGGCCCACCAAGGCGACGAUCCGUAGCUGGUCUGAGAGGAUGAUCAGCCACACUGGAACUGAGAAACGGUCCAGACUCCUACGGGAGGCAGCAGUGGGGAAUAUUGGACAAGGGGCGCAAGCCUGAUCCAGCCAUACCGCGUGGGUGAAGAAGGCCUUCGGGUUGUAAAGCCCUUUUGUUGGGAAAGAAAAGCAGCAGGUUAAUACCCCGCUGUUCUGACGGUACCCAAAGAAUAAGCACCGGCUAACUUCGUG
rnacentral:rRNA from 1 species